rnacentral:rRNA from 1 species
AACGCUAGCUACAGGCUUAACACAUGCAAGUCGCGGGGUAACGAGAGGGAAGCUUGCUUUCCUUGUCGACGACCGGCGCACGGGUGAGUAACGCGUAUCCAACCUGCCCAUUACCACGGGAUACCCCGUCGAAAGGCGGCCUAAUACCGUAUGCAGUCGUCAGAUGACAUCAGAGGACGACGAAAGGAUUGGCGGUAAUGGAUGGGGAUGCGUCUGAUUAGGUAGUUGGAGGGGUAACGGCCCACCAAGCCAUCGAUCAGUAGGGGUUCUGAGAGGAAGGUCCCCCACAUUGGAACUGAGACACGGUCCAAACUCCUACGGGAGGCAGCAGUGAGGAAUAUUGGUCAAUGGCCGUAAGGCUGAACCAGCCAAGUAGCGUGCAGGAUGACGGCCCUAUGGGUUGUAAACUGCUUUUAAACGGGGAUAAAGUGAGCCACGUGUGGUUUAUUGCAGGUACCGUUUGAAUAAGGACCGGCUAAUUCCGUGCCAGCAGCCGCGGUAAUACGGAAGGUCCAGGCGUUAUCCGGAUUUAUUGGGUUUAAAGGGAGCGUAGGCGGAGCGUCAAGCCAGCAGUGAAAUGUAGCGGCCCAACCGCUGCACUGCUGUUGGAACUGGCGCCCUUGAGUGCACACGAGGUAUGCGGAAUUUGUGGUGUAGCGGUGAAAUGCUUAGAUAUCACGAAGAACUCCGAUUG